UUGGGGAAUGUGUUUACCUUGAAACAAGCUUAUUCCACAGCUAGGUGAACUUAAGGCAAAUGAACAAUAAUACUUUACAUGAAUGAUAUUUGCAACCUUAGCUCUGCAUGGUGACCUACUUAGGCAGAGAUUCUUCCACUAAUUCGCUUGAUCUGCAUGUGUUUUUUAUAAAUAUUUGUGGAACAUUUCUGUUUAAUUUUCCAAGAGCCAUGGCUAAAAUGUCUGUGUCUUCAUCUCAUUAUUUUUUCAUGUCUUUGAAAGCGAGUAUUGCAAAUAAACUGAAAAGCUGACCUGCUCAAAGAAGAGAAGUAGAGAAACAGUGGCUGAAGUUUGUAUGAGUUCCUCUCCCUAAAGACACAGCUCAACAUGAAGGGAAAUGAUGGUUGCAGGUCCCUAAACAAUUUUGAAUGGAGGUGUGGAUUCCUUUAAAUUGUUACGAAACGCCUGGACACAGGAGGAGGGGUGGAUGUCGUAUACUUAGACUUCAGGAAGGCCUUCGACACAGUAUCCCACCCCAUACUGGUGAACAAGUUAAGAGGCUGUGACGUGGAUGACUACACAGUCCGGUGUGGCAGGUGACUCCCUGAAGAGAAGGCAACUACAUACUAUGGAGCAAAUAGGGAUACCCCUAGGUGACUUGUAACAAUUGUGACAGCAUACAACAUGGAGGCAUUCAGUAAUACUAUAGUUUUCAUAGUGACAAAACCUCACACAUAAUUGUGAAAUGGUACAGAAUAAUUCCCCAAAAGGCUACAGAAGAGUAUAUGUUUAAAAUAUGAAAACAUUAAAUAUCCCCCUCCUGCAAUUAAGUGAAAUAGAUAUUGCACUUGUUUUUCACUCAGUAGGAUUAAGUACAAACAAAUGGGCUACAAAAGUCCCAUGAGAGUGACAGAAUUUCUCACUAAUUUAUAAUUUGGUUAGGUUUAAGUUUGCAAAUGUCAUGCAGCUGGAAUUAUCUAUACACAUGGUAUUUUGUCUAGGUUCACCUGAAGUAACCAAUGGAUGUUGAGUAUUUCAUUGUUUGUUUAAUAAUUCAACCAUAAAAAAUGCCAAAGCCACUUAUAGAAGAUGCAAACUCAUUUCAACUAUAUUAUUUAAGUACAUUUUGACCAAAUAACUGUGUACUUAUACAGUACAAUGAAACACUCUAGGAAAGUCUUUCUGGGUUGCUUCUAUUUAAACUCUUAUAAAGGGGCAGUAUCUGCACUAAUGGAUUCUUUACACUGCUACUUUAGAACCAUUUGCUUACUGCAAGAACAAUCUCAAAACAAAAGCAUUUGGUUACUGUGUAAUGUCAAGCCUUCUUUGUUACAGGAAAAAUAAAAAU